rnacentral:rRNA from 1 species
GCCCAUUAAAGCGGUACGCGAGCUGGGUUCAGAACGUCGUGAGACAGUUCGGUCCCUAUCCGGCGCGGGCGGAGGAUAUUUGAGAGGAGCUGUCCUUAGUACGAGAGGACCGGGAUGGACGGACCACUGGUGUAUCUGCUGUCGACCAACGGCAUGGCAGAGUAGCCAAGUCCGGAAGGGAUAAACGCUGAAGGCAUCUAAGCGUGAAGCCCCCCUCAAGAUGAGAUAUCCCUCACAUAAGUGAGUAAGAUCCCUUGAAGAGUACAAGGUAGAUAGGGCAGAGGUGGAAGCAUGGUAACGUGUGGAGCUGACUGUUACUAAUCGAUCGAGGGCUUGACCAAAUAA